rnacentral:misc_RNA from 1 species
CCGCCACCCCUGCCAGUCUCUCUUUCCCAAGAGGUGUUGCGGAAGGCCGCGCUUACGGGGUAAACGACACACCCAGAGAACAGCCAUCGAUAAUCCGUCCUGCGGAUCGGUAGUGAUUGACCAGCACCGCUGCGACGCACACGCACAUACCACGCAUCAGUGCGCCUUCCGGAAGCGACUAUCGAGAGAGUGUGAGUGGGCGCAGGAGAGGGACAUGAGUGUGGGUUUUUUAUGCUGCUCGCUUCGUGCGCCUUCCAGCGCCUUCCUCUCCCCGACCUCCUGCCGACAUUUUCGACCACUUUUACUUCCCUAGUUACCAUGCCUUUCAGCAUCACGUCGUCUAUGAUGGACAGUAAAUCCAAUGUUGGCGACUCGGCAACGAUGCCCAUGCUGCCAGAGCCUUAUCAUGGCGCCCUCUUCCAACCGGCGUCUCCGCAUAGCGACUCUGCCUCUACGGCUCGCUUCUCCGAAAAGAGCGGCCAGCUGCACAGUUGCCAUGGCGUUCCGCAUGGAGGCCUCACCCGUGAGCCGUCGGAGAUGUUUCAAGUCGUUAUCGACGGCGACGACGGCGGCGUUGAGAUGCGGCGCGUGCAUGACCGCAUUGAGGCUGCCUUACGUGUGCGCUUACUAUACCGGCCUCUGGAGACUCGCGUGGGCAGCCGAGAGCGGGCAAACCCGUACGUGUCAGCUCCGAUGCCGGGCCGCAUCACAAUCGUGCAGAAGGACGGCGUUUACCAGGUCUCUGAUCAUGACGCGUCGCUUUUUCUCCCUAUACCAACGUGGUCGCAGUACGCGAUGGACGUGCAGAAGGUGCGGCUCACCGUCGGCAACGCCGGCUGCGUCAACGCCUGUCAUCAUCGUCUUGGCAUUAUGCAAGAGCGCUCCCGCAUGUUCUUUUUGCUUAAUGCGGAGAUGGAAGAGCGGGCAAAUUAUCACAAAGCCGGCGGCGUCUUUUCAGCCGCCAGGAAGGUAGACAACGCCGUCCUGCUCUCCGAGUCGAUGGAUGCGCAAGAGCUGCUCGAGGGGGUGAAAGAGAUGUACCGGCGCAGUCCGGAGGCAGCAGUGCACCUGCGCGACGGGUCCAACUCUAUGCUGCGUGAGCUGCUCGGCGCACACGGCGUACGGUCCGCGGAUGAGCUCACCGUCGCUGGCCUCGGAUGGAAGGCAGAGAAAGACACACCUCAUCAAGGUCAGAUCGACUCGGCAGAUUGCGAGAGCAUGGCUGCCCUCGGCGCCGAGCUGCGUUUCUCCUUCACCGCGUUGCAGGGGUACCUGUGCGAGAAGGUGCUGCGGCGCGUGGUGUCCAGGGCAGAGCGGCCGUUACUUACUCCACAGGCGGCUGAGUACAGCGUGCCACUCUACGGUCUGCAAUCUUCCGAGCUGAGUGAUCUGGCGGAGCUGAUGCGGCGUAAGCUUGAGGGCCCGCAUCCGCGGGUGCAGUACAUCCUGAGCAUCUGCUUCACCGAGUCGCCGCCGUUCGAGGUGGCGAGCAGCUGCACGACGCUGCAGGACCAGCUAGACAACAUCUUUCUCGCUCUCUUCAAGGCCACCUUGGCUCCGGAAGACCCUAGCAACGCCGGCGUGGCGUGGCUGCUGGGGCAGGUGGGUGGUCUGCAGAUGCUGCAUGCACAGGACGGGCCCGGCCGCGACUUUGACGAGAUGGCUCCGCCGCCAGAUCAGGUGAGGAUUGGGGCCAAGCAGAGCGGGCUCUACUACAUGUACUAUCUUUACGCCAACCUCGCCGUGCUGAACAGCCUGCGGCGGCGCAAGGGGCUCGAGCCAUUGCAGCUGCGCUGCACUGGCAACAAGCCGACCGGGAUGGACGACCUGAUUGGCGCCUACAUCCUCUCUGACGUUAUCACACGCGCGACCAAGAUUACCGACUACCCCGUUCUGCAGUACCUGUGCGGUCUGCAUCGUGUCGGCCUGACAGUGUCGCCAUUGUGCGACCACAUGGAAGGCAUCGUGGCGUACAAGGACCACCCGCUUCCCCACUUUUUGCACCGCUGCUUGCACAUCACGCUAUCGACAGAGUCGCCGCUGCGCUACCACCACAACCCCCGCGCGCUCAUCGAAGAGUACGCCACGGCGCAGAAGAUGUUUCGACUGAGCUCCCUCGACAUGACAGAGCUCGCACACAACAGCGUUCUCAUGUCCUCCUUCUCUCCUGAAGUGAAGCGGCAGUGGCUUGGGGACAACUACCAGCUGGGCGUCGAGGGCAACGAGUUUGAGCUGAGCCAUGUCACCAACGCACGGCUUGCGUUCCGCGACGAGGCCUGGCAGCUGGAGCGCAACAUGAUGCGCGACCUAAACUUGAAUCCUCCUCACGAGGUCGGCGCCGGGCUCAGUCGCUGGCAUCACCUGAGCAACGUGCAGGAGGUGGAGUACGAUACCGUGAUGGACAACCGCGUCCGCUUCCCGCGCACGGUGCUCAAAGGGCCACACAAGGACGCGAAGGCGGCGACGGCGGCACCGCGCGUCGCGCGCGCCCUCGACCUGCGCCACCAGUACAUCUGGCGCCCACCCCCUCCGUGGGAGACGGCGCAGCGACACGGCGUCGAGACAGACUUCCAGCGCCGAACGGCAACCUUUAACGAGGAUGAGUGGACCUACGCGGCGAGCGACGCGGUCUUCAUCGCAUACCCAAAAAGCGCCGUGCACGCCUGGCCGCGGUCGCUGCCGACGCUCGACGACUUCCACAAGCACCUGCGCGAACUGAGGGACAUCUGCGCCAGCGCCGAGGUGAAGGAGUACGCGCACAAGCGACUCGAGAACCUCGACCACAAGUUCCGCCUGCACCUGGCUCUCAACCACGAAAACGAAGCCGGCACCACGGAGGAUCGACAAUCCUCGAACCGCGACUUCUAUCAGGCCACCAAGGUCGACACGCACAUCCACAUGGCAGCCGGCAUGACGCCGAAGCAGAUUUUGAAGUUUGUGCUUGCCAAGCUGAAGGAAAGCGGCGACGACAUUGCCAUGAAGAAGGGAGACGACAUCAUCACCCUGGGCCAGCUCUUCGCCAAGGCCGGCAUCACGCCGAACUUGACGGUGGAUCAGCUGAACGUGCAGGCUGACCAUACGCUGUUCGAGCGCUUUGACAACUUCAACAGCAAGUACAACCCGAUGGAAAACGGUGACCUGCGCUCGCUGCUGCUGAAGACGGACAACUUCAUGAACGGCCGCUACUUUGCAGAGCUGAUCCACGACGUAUUUGAGCAGUACUCGCGCGACCGCUACACCUACGCCGAGAACCGCCUCUCUGUCUACGGUAUCAACGUCAAGGAGUGGGACAAGCUGGCGCAUUGGUUUGCCACGCACGGUAUGGCGAACAAGCACAAUAAGUGGAUUAUUCAGGUGCCGCGCGUGUACAAGGUGUUCCGCGCGCAGAACGUCAUUGGCAGCUUUGGUCAGUAUCUGCAGAAUAUCUUUCAGCCCUUGUGGGAGGCCUCGCUGCACCCGAGCGAGCAUCCGACGCUGCACAACUUUCUCAAUCACGUGAGUGGCUUCGACUCCGUCGACAACGAGGCCACCAUCGAUCUCCCCUUCACGACGGUCUCGCCGUGGGCUUGGACGGUCGUCGAAAACCCGCCGUACAACUACUACCUCUACUACCUGUACGCCAACAUCCGCACACUCAACGAGUUCCGCGCCUCUCGCGGCUUCUCUACGUUUGGGCUGCGGCCGCACUGCGGCGAGUCAGGCUCUGAGGUGCACCUUUACGGCGCCUUUCUGUGCGCGAACAGCAUCUGCCACGGCAUCAACCUGCGCAACGAUCCACCGAUGCAGUAUCUCUACUACCUCGCCCAGAUUGGUUUGCACGUGUCGCCGCUGAGUAACAACGCUCUUUUCUUGCACUUUUUGAACAAUCCUUUUCCGGACUUCUUCCACCGCGGACUGAAUGUGUCGUUGAGCACGGACGAUCCGAUGAUGUUCCACCAAACCCAGGAGCCGUUGAUCGAGGAGUACAGCAUUGCUGCGCGCGUGUGGGGGCUCAGCGCGAACGACCUGUGUGAGAUUGCUCGCAACUCCGUGCUGCAGUGCGGCUUCGACAACAACUUCAAGUGCAACGCAAUCGGUGACCGCUGGUUUCUCUCGUCUUCGUUGGGCAACGACUCGCUGCGCACGCACCUCUCUGACAUUCGUGUCGCGUUUAGGUUUGAGACCUACCACACCGAGUUGCAGCAGCUAGAGCUGUGCUGCGGACGGCCGGUGUCGCGCUUCAUGAUGACAGCCGCCGAGGAGCGCGCCGUUGACGUCCAGCUCGUCGAUGUGCAGCGCGAGUACGUCCUUCUCUCCACGCACGAUCAGGCGAUGGAGGUGAUGCUGCGCGAGAUGGAGGACACAAAAGCGAAGAUCUUGCAGACACGGGCUCAGGUGGACAUCCUGCGACGGCAGCAGCGCUCUCUGCUGGAGAAAAUCACGGAGAUGGGUAUCCGCCGCCAGGAGGCAGAGGAGCAGUCUGCGCAGGAGAAGGAGCUGCCGUCUCGCAAGGGCCCCCUCUACGUGCGUGAAAAGUCGCAGGUCUCGCAGGUCGGCGGCGGCGAUGGUGAACGCUCUUGUGUCUUACGGAGCCCCACGUGUCCAACACAGCAGGGUGAAACACUGAAGCGUCUUUUGCGCUGGAAGCCGAUGCCACCAGACCUGAUGCGCUCCGUCACACAGGCGAGUUUCAGCGGUUCUCGUGGGCGUCCACUUCCGCCGCUGCCAGUGCGGCAGCUGUACCAAAGCACGACAAGCGUCAAGGGCCCUGCGAAAUACUGAGGCGGUUCCAAAUGAGCGGAUUCGACGUUGUAUCACCUUCUUUCAGCCACGCCGUUGUGGCUUUUUUUUGUUUAUUCGAGCAAUGAUGUGCAUUACUGGAAUCACAGGGAGCGCCUUCGCGUGCGAGCCACCACAUCUGUUUCCUUUUCGAAUUUUCUUCAGUUGCGCAUAUGUCGGAUGCGUGUCGGGGUCUAUGAAAGCGAGUAGGAGAGAGGGUUUGCCCAUACCCAUGCGUGUGUGUGCGUUUUGGGAGGGUUCUCCUCGUCUGUCUAAUCUUCUUCCGCAUUGCCACCUCUCUUGUACCGAUUGCAGUCCAGGUGUGAUUCGCUUCUCCCUGCCACACACUCACCAAAGCCGCCGAAAAAGAUGUUCCAACUGAAGACAGGUUAACAAGGUCCGACGAGUCUUUUCGCUCUACUCUUAGGUCAGCCGCCUCUCCUCUACCACGGUGCUCUCCCUCGUUCUUGCCGUGGCCGGGUGCCGUUGCUCUUGUUAUCGCUGCAGCAGGACACUCGGCGUGGGGGAGAACAAGGAGGAGGGAUCAUGAUAGCUCUGAAGAUGCCCAGAGCGAAGGCUGCGGUAGCCUCGCACGGUUCUCUCCGUCUCUCUUCCUGUGUGUCGCACCACACAUUUCUCUGCAUCUCUCUCUAUCUCCCAUUCCCUGUCGCUUGGCGCUCUCCCUCAUCUCACCCCUGCAUCGCUCCUUGACACCUUUUCGCUCAACUUUCGGGUAUGUCUCUCUUUCCCAAACGCUGACGCCUACAUCUUUUCCCCCUUUAUUUUCACACAACGUCGGUGAUGGGGCCCGCGCGCAG